rnacentral:rRNA from 1 species
ACUAAGCGUACACGGUGGAUGCCCUGGCAGUCAGAGGCGAUGAAGGACGUGCUAAUCUGCGAUAAGCGUCGGUGAGGUGAUAUGAACCGUUAUAACCGGCGAUUUCCGAAUGGGGAAACCCAGUGUGUUUCGACACACUAUCAUUAACUGAAUCCAUAGGUUAAUGAGGCGAACCGGGGGAACUGAAACAUCUAAGUACCCCGAGGAAAAGAAAUCAACCGAGAUUCCCCCAGUAGCGGCGAGCGAACGGGGAGGAGCCCAGAGCCUGAAUCAGUGUGUGUGUUAGUGGAAGCGUCUGGAAAGGCGUGCGAUACAGGGUGACAGCCCCGUACACAAAAAUGCACAUAUUGUGAGCUCGAUGAGUAGGGCGGGACACGUGGUAUCCUGUCUGAAUAUGGGGGGACCAUCCUCCAAGGCUAAAUACUCCUGACUGACCGAUAGUGAACCAGUACCGUGAGGGAAAGGCGAAAAGAACCCCGGCGAGGGGAGUGAAAAAGAACCUGAAACCGUGUACGUACAAGCAGUGGGAGCCUCUUAAUGGGGUGACUGCGUACCUUUUGUAUAAUGGGUCAGCGACUUAUAUUCUGUAGCAAGGUUAACCGAAUAGGGGAGCCGAAGGGAAACCGAGUCUUAACUGGGCGUUAAGUUGCAGGGUAUAGACCCGAAACCCGGUGAUCUAGCCAUGGGCAGGUUGAAGGUUGGGUAACACUAACUGGAGGACCGAACCGACUAAUGUUGAAAAAUUAGCGGAUGACUUGUGGCUGGGGGUGAAAGGCCAAUCAAACCGGGAGAUAGCUGGUUCUCCCCGAAAGCUAUUUAGGUAGCGCCUCGUGAAUUCAUCUCCGGGGGUAGAGCACUGUUUCGGCAAGGGGGUCAUCCCGACUUACCAACCCGAUGCAAACUGCGAAUACCGGAGAAUGUUAUCACGGGAGACACACGGCGGGUGCUAACGUCCGUCGUGAAGAGGGAAACAACCCAGACCGCCAGCUAAGGUCCCAAAGUCAUGGUUAAGUGGGAAACGAUGUGGGAAGGCCCAGACAGCCAGGAUGUUGGCUUAGAAGCAGCCAUCAUUUAAAGAAAGCGUAAUAGCUCACUGGUCGAGUCGGCCUGCGCGGAAGAUGUAACGGGGCUAAACCAUGCACCGAAGCUGCGGCAGCGACACUAUGUGUUGUUGGGUAGGGGAGCGUUCUGUAAGCCUGUGAAGGUGGCCUGUGAGGGUUGCUGGAGGUAUCAGAAGUGCGAAUGCUGACAUAAGUAACGAUAAAGCGGGUGAAAAGCCCGCUCGCCGGAAGACCAAGGGUUCCUGUCCAACGUUAAUCGGGGCAGGGUGAGUCGACCCCUAAGGCGAGGCCGAAAGGCGUAGUCGAUGGGAAACAGGUUAAUAUUCCUGUACUUGGUGUUACUGCGAAGGGGGGACGGAGAAGGCUAUGUUGGCCGGGCGACGGUUGUCCCGGUUUAAGCGUGUAGGCUGGUUUUCCAGGCAAAUCCGGAAAACCAAGGCUGAGGCGUGAUGACGAGGCACUACGGUGCUGAAGCGACAAAUGCCCUGCUUCCAGGAAAAGCCUCUAAGCAUCAGGUAACAUCAAAUCGUACCCCAAACCGACACAGGUGGUCAGGUAGAGAAUACCAAGGCGCUUGAGAGAACUCGGGUGAAGGAACUAGGCAAAAUGGUGCCGUAACUUCGGGAGAAGGCACGCUGAUAUGUAGGUGAAGCGACUUGCUCGUGGAGCUGAAAUCAGUCGAAGAUACCAGCUGGCUGCAACUGUUUAUUAAAAACACAGCACUGUGCAAACACGAAAGUGGACGUAUACGGUGUGACGCCUGCCCGGUGCCGGAAGGUUAAUUGAUGGGGUUAGCGGCAACGCGAAGCUCUUGAUCGAAGCCCCGGUAAACGGCGGCCGUAACUAUAACGGUCCUAAGGUAGCGAAAUUCCUUGUCGGGUAAGUUCCGACCUGCACGAAUGGCGUAAUGAUGGCCAGGCUGUCUCCACCCGAGACUCAGUGAAAUUGAACUCGCUGUGAAGAUGCAGUGUACCCGCGGCAAGACGGAAAGACCCCGUGAACCUUUACUAUAGCUUGACACUGAACAUUGAGCCUUGAUGUGUAGGAUAGGUGGGAGGCUUUGAAGUGUGGACGCCAGUCUGCAUGGAGCCGACCUUGAAAUACCACCCUUUAAUGUUUGAUGUUCUAACGUUGGCCCGUAAUCCGGGUUGCGGACAGUGUCUGGUGGGUAGUUUGACUGGGGCGGUCUCCUCCUAAAGAGUAACGGAGGAGCACGAAGGUUGGCUAAUCCUGGUCGGACAUCAGGAGGUUAGUGCAAUGGCAUAAGCCAGCUUGACUGCGAGCGUGACGGCGCGAGCAGGUGCGAAAGCAGGUCAUAGUGAUCCGGUGGUUCUGAAUGGAAGGGCCAUCGCUCAACGGAUAAAAGGUACUCCGGGGAUAACAGGCUGAUACCGCCCAAGAGUUCAUAUCGACGGCGGUGUUUGGCACCUCGAUGUCGGCUCAUCACAUCCUGGGGCUGAAGUAGGUCCCAAGGGUAUGGCUGUUCGCCAUUUAAAGUGGUACGCGAGCUGGGUUUAGAACGUCGUGAGACAGUUCGGUCCCUAUCUGCCGUGGGCGCUGGAGAACUGAGGGGGGCUGCUCCUAGUACGAGAGGACCGGAGUGGACGCAUCACUGGUGUUCGGGUUGUCAUGCCAAUGGCACUGCCCGGUAGCUAAAUGCGGAAGAGAUAAGUGCUGAAAGCAUCUAAGCACGAAACUUGCCCCGAGAUGAGUUCUCCCUGACUCCUUGAGGGUCCUGAAGGAACGUUGAAGACGACGACGUUGAUAGGCCGGGUGUGUAAGCGCAGCGAUGCGUUGAGCUAACCGGUACUAAUGAACCGUGAGGCUUAACC